UACGGAGGGUGCAAGCGUUAUCCGGAUUCACUGGGUUUAAAGGGUGCGUAGGAGGGCAGGUAAGUCAGUGGUGAAAUCCCCGAGCUUAACUUGGGAACUGCCGUUGAUACUAUCUGUCUUGAAUAUUGUGGAGGUAAGCGGAAUAUGUCAUGUAGCGGUGAAAUGCUUAGAUAUGACAUAGAACACCAAUUGCGAAGGCAGCUGGCUACACAAAUAUUGACACUGAGGCACGAAAGCGUGGGGAUCAAACAGG
rnacentral:rRNA from 1 species